CCAAGUGAUGGGAGAAAGGCGCUGCACUUUAGGUAGAGAUGCGGGCCAGGACUAUGAGGAGAUGUCAAGCACAUCAAAUGAUCUCUCCUGCUCAGCCAACAAGAUCCCAUGUAGCACUGCUGGAUCAAAUUCAACCCCUACCAAAAGUCUCCGCAGCUCUGUGUCUGCCCCGGCAAGCCACCGUACCGAGUGCAGAAGAAGCAGGUACACUGGCGUUUCCAUUUUUCAAUACCCACUAAUUCUGCUGGGUGACGUCAUGUGACGACUAAUUGUGCAUAUCUCUGCGUGAGGACCAGUAAGCAUGCCGGUUCUGGCAGAUGGCAAGCCAACAGUGAGAUGAUGGUUACGGUGGUGGAGAUGAUGAGGAGGUUGCCGUCAGAAAGCGCAGUUGCAGGAAAGCCAGCGCAAUGGAGGCCUUGCAUUAUGCACUUAACUGUGUCAAACAAGUGCACGGUGUGGAAACAACCCCCAUCUUUUGUUCCUAUCCCGGUCUGUCCUGAGGGCGGGCUCAUUUGUUUAUAUUGUCUUCAGGUGGUCAAGUAAAGAGCUGCUGUCUGACUGUCAAAUGUGUUUUUCCUCUGUUGUCGCCCCAUACCCAGUGGUGAAUACUACAAGCCGCUUUUGCAAAAUUUUCCGGGGGAGAGAGUAGAUGCUAAACUUUGCACAAUAGAAGAACUGGAGAGGGUGACGUCUGAAGAAGAACAUGAGGGAAAGAAAGAAGGAUGGAGCAGCAACAGCAGCAAAUACUUUGCCAGCAACGCCUCGUCCAUCGUCUGACGUCGCGCAAAGCCCCCAAGAGCCUUGAGGGGGCAGUGGAGCACCAGCAACCCUUGGAGACCCGGCUGGAGGCCUCCCUGAGGAGCAUGAUCCAGCACACGCUGGAGCCUAUCAUGAUGACGUAGCAGAUCCACACCAGGUAACAGUGCGUGCCUUUUCUCUCAAACCCUUUCCUGUGUUUGCCACUCACAGAAGAAGAGGCGUUUGGUCAUCUCGUUGUUUAGUCCACAUGUGACGAAACCUAUCCUUUGAACGAGUUAAAGACAAUUGGGCAUCCACCAAAAAUGUAUUACCAUUCUUAUGUCAUCAUAUUUGAUAUCAUAUGUUUUAUGUUAUUAUAUUUUAUAGCGAGUCACUCAGUGUAAUGACUGUUAUGUAGUCAUGACCUGAAGUUCUUUGGGUGUCUGAUGCUUUGUGUUUUUCUCCAUUUCAAACCCCUCCACCUCGAGUCCCCCGCCAGCAGGAGGUGCUGGCGGGGGACGUGGAGAAGCCGUCCUGCAGCUCCUCCAGCCCUGGUUCACCCAGGAGCAGAAAGGGGAGCUGGCCAAGGCGCACCCCUUGGUCCAGCAGCACCCCGUACUGCCGGAGACACACAGACAGGUUUCGGUGAGUUGCAGCCCUGGAUGUGGGAUGGCCUACUCGGUCUCCCACGAGCCCUGUGUGAGGGGCUGCUCUGAUUAGAGGUAAAGGGUGAAAACGGACCUAACACGACAAACAGCUUGACCGAUGGAGAGUGAGAGAGAGUCCUGCUCCAAUUCCAGAACCAGAAAACAAAGCUGAACCUCAGGGGCAAGGAUGUGGCUUGGAGGUGGGGGGGUUUGUGAGCAGGGGAAUCGCCAGGACUGUAUUUGUGCCAUGGUUCACACACAGUGGCCUCAAGAAUAGGAGAAGACUGCGAUGGCUUACAGGGACGCCCUUCUCUUAUUGAACGUGUCAUACAAAUGCCAUGCUGGUAAAGAGAUGUCCCAUUGUGUUAUGUGUUCUUCCAAAGCUGUUAUUUUCCACUCUUUCUCUUAUCUUCUUUCAUUCAAUUUUAGUUUUUCCACAGUUCCGCAUCAAAGGAAAAAGCACUAGACCCUGUACCAUGAUCCCCCACUCUUCUGGCUCGCCUCCCUGUGUUGCACUUUGUAAAUGGAAGGACUGCGUUUAUAUUGUGCUUUACCCAAAGCGCAUUACAAUAUUGCCUAACAUCCACCCAUUCAUGGACAAAUUCGGUGUCAGCCAUGCAAGGCGACAGCCAGCUCGUCUGCAGUAUUUAGGGUUAGGUGCCUUACUUUGUGUUUUUCCUACUGCUGCUUCUGUGUUCCAUCUGUCUACUUCACCUCCCACCUGCUGUGGUGAUGCCUCAUCAGCCAUGGGUUUACUCACAGUUCACAACGAAUAGUUCCCAGAAAGACUCUGAGCAUGUAUGAGUUGGUGUGUGUGCAUGAGAGACGGUGGGAGAAGAAUUAAGGUAUUUAGACUUCAAAUUCAUGUUACGACAUUUUGGUUUCUUUAUGGCUUGUAGACAGAGAGAGUUUGUGUGAGGUUGUGGAGGCGUGAAUGCGUGUGAAUGUUGUCACUGGUCCGAGAGAACUGCGCGCCAGGAUACAGGUGUUACUACAUUACAACCACUGCCAGGAUUUUCGACCACUUAUAGAUCAAUGGAAAAUAUUCGGGCACAAUGUAUCUUUUGUAUAAAAAGUGCAUAUCAAACAAACAUUCCAAAGUAUUUAAUAUGUGCCUUUUGUCCUGAUUUCAGGUAUUCUUUGUGGCAAAGUGAAAUAAACUAUGACUUCA